GGUGAAAUCCGGUUCUAACCGGUCCGGGGCUCCCAGCGCUAUAAAAACUUUAUAAACCCCCCCCCCCCCGGAGCCCAAGCAGUGUGAGGAAGAGGAGACGGAAGCGACCCCCGGACCGGCCGCUGCUGCAACCCGCACCCAGACUCCGCUGCUGUCGCUGCUCCCGCCCCUCCACCGUCACCACCAUGCCCAAGAGAAAGGCUGAAGGAGAUGCUAAGGGAGACAAGACCAAGGUUAAGGACGAACCACAGAGGAGAUCAGCACGGUUAUCUGCUAAACCUGCUCCUCCAAAGCCAGAACCCAAACCCAAAAAGGCACCUGCAAAGAAGGGAGAGAAGUUACCCAAAGGGAAAAAGGGAAAGGCUGACUCCGGUAAGGAUGGGAACAAUCCUGCAGAGAAUGGAGAUGCCAAAACAGACCAGGAAUUCACUGAACUGACGUUUUAAGUUGCAAUAAGAAAUUUGCUCCUUCACUGCCAUGUGUUGCCAGCUGUCCCAAAGACUGCUGAGAAUAUUGCAUGCACCUCGUAGAUUUUUGCCCUCCACUCCAGAAGCAUCACUCAUAAAAUGGCACAGAAAGCUGAAGGUGCUGGAGAUGCCAAGUGAAUUGUGUGAAUUUUUGAUAACUGUGUACUUCUGGUGACUGUACAGUUUGAAAUACUAUUUUUUAUCAAGUUUUAUAAAAAUGCAGAAUUUUGUUUUACUUUUUUUUAAGCUAUGUUGUUAGCACACAGAACGCUUUGUUGUUGUUUUGGGGGAAUGGGGCAGAUGUUACAGAUAGAAUAUCUCAGAAGCUGGGUUGAAAUGGGUGGGGAUUUCUUCUCCUCCUUGUUUUUGAGAGGACUUCUCUUGAAUACCAAGAGAAGGCUCACACACACACACACCAGAUACAUAGAUACAAACACUGAGACCCUCAGCCUGUCUGGUGGGGGUAGGAGUGGAUAACUUCAAAAAUUUGUACUUCUUCCCUGUCUGCCAUAAGCAUCAACUUGACUCCUCCAAACCCAGGGGCCUAUCAGGACCUGCCCCUGUUUCCCUCCUUCCCCCCACCCCCAAAUCAAUUGUGUUGGAUACCAGUCUUUCAGGUGAUCUGGACUUGAAUUAUGGCCCUGCUGAGGCCUCCCCAAAAGAGCCUAAGUUCCUUUCAUAUUGGGGGUCUUUUCCAAUUAAGAAUUCUACAGUUUUCAUUUCAUUUUCUCAAAGUCAGGGUAGGCUCGUGAAAAGUUGUUAAACAACAUAUGCUCAAUGUGAAAGUGUCCACCCUCACUCUAAACUUUCCCUGUUUAAAGUAUAAAAUAAAGACUCUUCAUUGGGUUUUAUAGUGACUUUAUGUUUUUGGUAGUCCAUGGAGGAGGGGAGUUGGAAAGUUGUCGUUGCCGAUCGUAGCCCAUGUCCUGCCUGAAUUACCAUGAUUGUUUAUGAAAAGUAUCUUUAAUAAAGCUGGAUACAGUUUGGCUUGGA